rnacentral:snRNA from 1 species
GUGCUCACUUUGGCAGUACAUGUACUAAAAUUGGAAUGAUACUGAGAGAAUUAGCUUGGACCCUGAGUGAAGAUGACAUACAAAUUUGUCAAGCAUUCCAUAUUUUU